UGCAUUGUUGAGCUGGGAGCGAAAGAUUAUUGUAUGGGGACAAUGAACGAUUUCUAUUCGUCGAAUGGCUUAUAAAAAGAAUUUUAAUAAAGAAAUAUGUUCUCUGAGAAUAUUAAUAGAAUUGAACCAAAAAUCGACGAGUUAAUUCUCAUCCAAUGAACCUAAACGGAAGUGAAUCGGAAUCAGGAGCAGCGUCGUAAGAAAGAAUCGUAAUCGAAAGCUGCAGGUACGAUGGACGCGAGUUGUUCGAAGCGGUUGCUUAACAGCGGAGCAGCGUAACGGAGCUGAUGUCGGUGAUUUAUGCGCCGUUUCGAGGUGAGCAAUCGCAAAAUUGCUAGUCGCAGGGCCCCCGACUGGCAUAACUGAUUGCUCGAAGCGUUACGGUAUCCCUCUGAUGUCCUUCCUUCCUUCCUUCCUAACAGCCUGCCCUACCUACACUAACCCUCAAAACCAUGGGGACCACCUAUUGAUAAUGAGCAGGCUGUGUAUCCACCUACGUACCAACUGGACAAGUUCUACUCGAUGAUCGCUUAGACACCGAUUCGUGUGGGCAUGAGAUCGUGAACAGCGAUUUGUGGCUUGUUCGAUCGACAAUGAGCACUGUAACGGCUUCUCGAUUCUUCUGUUAUGGCAAGAAAUUCUCAGAAGAAUAUCCUUAGGGGUUCCUGACUCACCUCAACGAGAAUUAAGGAGACAGUAAUUUCAUAUGCGUUUUCGAGAAACGAUUCGCAUAGUCUGGCUGAAGGCAACAAGGUCGACGUUCAAUGGCAGUAGGUGUCCCAGGAGGCCGACAAAUAAAGCAAAAUGCUACAGCAAAGGCGUGCCCGGACCACGGUUGGUCACAAAGGCACCGAAAACGGAAAGGGGCUUCAUUAAAAAUGCACCAGCAACGUCGGUGCGAGCACUGUCUCCAGGAACAAUGCGUGCACGAAAUAUGCGUCAAGAGAUACGAAUUCGCUGGCGUAACCGUUGCUGCGAAAAGUGUUACUGAAAAAUACAUCGAGUCUGGAAAUUUUUGCAGAAGAAACGAAAUAGGAUUCUUCCAAACCUCUAAACCUAUAUAAUAAUGUAUCGAGGACAAAAAUAACAAUUUGACUUUUGACUACGAUUAGCUAUAUAACAAUUUUUAUUUUUAUUAUCUAUUUUAAAAUUUGCGAUAAUGAUUACCUACACAAAAAUUUAAUUUUGAUCUUCUUUUAGCGUUGCUAAUUAUUGUAAUUUAAUUUCACAUACCUAUAAACGAACAAAAAUAGCACUAGACCCUACAGCAAUAAGUAACAAUUAGUAGGUACCAUAUAAGCAAAUUUGGGGUGUAUCUCCAGCCGUUUCGAGCCACAUGGGACCCGGGUAGCUUAUAAUGGGAUGCAAGUUUUUCGUUUUAACCCGCGGGCCAGUUUAGGCCCGUGGAGCUUCCUCUUGGAAUUUAUCGGCCAUCCGAAUCGCGGACCA